GAUGAACGCUGGCGGCGUGCCUAAUACAUGCAAGUCGAGCGAACAGAUGAGGAGCUUGCUCCUCUGACGUUAGCGGCGGACGGGUGAGUAACACGUGGAUAACCUACCUAUAAGACUGGGAUAACUUCGGGAAACCGGAGCUAAUACCGGAUAAUAUAUUGAACCGCAUGGUUCAAUAGUGAAAGACGGUUUUGCUGUCACUUAUAGAUGGAUCCGCGCCGCAUUAGCUAGUUGGUAAGGUAACGGCUUACCAAGGCAAGGAUGCGUAGCCGACCUGAGAGGGUGAUCGGCCACACUGGAACUGAGACACGGUCCAGACUCCUACGGGAGGCAGCAGUAGGGAAUCUUCCGCAAUGGGCGAAAGCCUGACGGAGCAACGCCGCGUGAGUGAUGAAGGUCUUCGGAUCGUAAAACUCUGUUAUUAGGGAAGAACAAAUGUGUAAGUAACUAUGCACGUCUUGACGGUACCUAAUCAGAAAGCCACGGCUAACUACGUG
rnacentral:rRNA from 1 species